GUGUGUCAAUUUUAGGUGUUCAUUGAUUUUUUUUUGAACAUUUUAUUUUGUAACAUUAUUUAAACACUUCAUAUGUUGACGAAAGAUUCCAUUCAAAAAAACUAAACAGAGGAACGAAAGAUUCCAUUCAAAAAAACUAUAGAGGAUAUUUAAAUGAUUUUAUUCGUUACAGUAAAUUGUAAUAAUAAUUCCUAAUCUCACAUCAUGCAAUAGUUAUUUUGAAUAGCUUAAUUUCAUAUUUUUGAAAAGGGAUGUAUUAUAUUUCAUUGAGUUUUUCUCAUUAGGCUCUUAUCUUGAAAUGCUGCACCCCUGUUGGGUGUUCAAGUAAAUUGGAAGAGCUAACAGUUACGAUACCCCUAAUGAUUACGGGCAAGAAUGUGUAAGAAUGGUGUGACAGAAAUAGUGGAGAAAAUUUUGGAAUUAUUUUUGUUAAGGAUUAGAUUAUUAGAAAUGUGAAUGUUGAGGAAACAAUCUAAUCAUACUAAAAGUAGAAUAUAGGCAAACCAAAGUAUUCAAGCUUUUGCGCAAACGAAAUGGCGACCUGAGUUUAUUAUUUCUGUUUGUGCAAAAACUGAAUCCCUGCUUGCCAAAGUUCUAGUGCUGGUAGCAUUUACAUCUUUUAUUCUCAAUGGAACUAAUUUCAAAAUUUUUUUUUUCACCGUUUCUGUCACACCAUUCUUGACAAUAAUUAUUAGGGGUGUUUCAAUUGUUAUUGUACCAGAGGCUGGUGUUGCUAUUGACUCCCACUCUAUCCACCAUGCAAAAUGUUUUGAUUCUGUUCAUUUGCAGUCCGCUUCUCCCUCAUUUCCACCAUUUGCUUUCUGUCUAUAGCUGCUUCUCCUUCCCAGUUUGCUCACUCUUGGAGAUACAUUCCUUUCAAACUUUGCUUCGCCAGCUGCAGCAUGGCGCUGCCUCCUUGUCUCCUCUGCUUCAUUGCCUCAUUCAUGUUAAGCCUGCAUGAAUGACUUUUGCAUUUGCCGCCAAAAAUAUAUGAACACAACAUAAACUCAACACGAUGCAUGGAAGUAAAGACAAAUCAACAAGCUAAGUAUAUACUACUCCUGCGUGCACGG